rnacentral:rRNA from 1 species
GUGUCAGCCGCCGCGGUAAUACGUAGGUGGCGAGCGUUGUCCGGAUUUACUGGGCGUAAAGGGCUUGUAGGCGGUCCGCUAAGUCUGGUGUGAAAUCUCCCGGCUCAACUGGGAGGGGUCAUUGGAUACUGGCGGACUUGAGGGGGGUAGAGGAAAGCAGAAUUCCUGGUGUAGCGGUGAAAUGCGUAGAUAUCAGGAGGAAUACCAGUGGCGAAGGCGGCUUUCUGGGCCUACCCUGACGCUGAGGAGCGAAAGCGUGGGGAGCAAACCGGAUUAGAAACCCCUGUAGUCC